CUCUUUGCUCUGUCCGUCGCUUCCAUAGACAGAAGAAACUGACCCUCAGACAGACGGAGUCUUUCGGCUAAUCCUCCUUCAUUCUGGCCGAGGUUGCUGAAACACUCCUUCACACAAACGAAGAGGAUUUUCUCCACGGAUGUCGACACGUUUCCAUGAAAAAUACAUUUAACCAGGAACUCCGAAGAGGUUCUGAUCCAGGAGGACGGUGUAAUGACUGGUGUGGGUUAAUACAUCCAACAACAGAACAUUUAGAUUUAACCGCUUGCUGCUUCGGCGUCCUUCAACUUGAACUACAAGAAUACUGCGAGAAACAAAAUGGCGGAUUCGCUGGAUUGGUUAACAGGUGUUGUGUGAAAUUCUGUUCCCCUGAAAUAUUCUGUUCCCCCUGUGUCGGGAGCGCGCACUGCAGCCAGAGAGACGGAUCCGACCGUCUUCACAGCUUUUCUGAUCAAUUUGUCG